rnacentral:piRNA from 1 species
GAUGUACAACCUAGAAGAAGCCCUUGAAGC